rnacentral:rRNA from 1 species
CCUACGGGGUGCUGCAGUGAGGAAUAUUGGUCAAUGGACGAGAGUCUGAACCAGCCAAGUAGCGUGAAGGAUGACUGCCCUAUGGGUUGUAAACUUCUUUUAUAUGGGAAUAAAAUGUUCCACGUGUGGGCUUUUGUAUGUACCAUAUGAAUAAGGCUCGGCUAACUCCGUUCCAGCAGCCGCGGUAAUACGGAGGAUCCGAGCGUUUUCCGGAUUUAUUGGGUUUAAAGGGGGCGUAAGUGGAUUGUUAAGUUAGUUGUGAAAGUUUGCGGCUCAAACGUAAAAUUGCAGUUGAAACUGGCAGUCUUGAGUACGGUAGAAGUAGGCGGAAUUCGUGGUGUAGCGGUGAAAUGCUUAGAUAUCACGAAGAACUCCGAUUGCGAAGGCAGCACACUGGACUGCAACUGACACUGAGGCUCGAAAGUGUGGGUAUCGAACAGGAUUAGAUACCCUAGUAGUC